rnacentral:rRNA from 1 species
CGAGGGGUAACAGGGUUUUCGGACCGCUGACGACCGGCGCACGGGUGCGUAACGCGUAUACAAUCUACCUAUUACUAAGAGAUAGCCCAGAGAAAUUUGGAUUAAUAUUUUAUGGUAUUAUCGAUUGGCAUCGAUUGAUAAUUAAAGGUUACGGUAAUAGAUGAGUAUGCGUCCUAUUAGCUUGAUGGUAAGGUAACGGCUUACCAUGGCAACGAUAGGUAGGGGUCCUGAGAGGGAGAUCCCCCACACUGGCACUGAGACACGGGCCAAACUCCUACGGGAGGCAGCAGUAGGGAAUCUUGGUCAAUUGGCGAAAGCCAGAACCAGUCAUGCCGCGUGCAGGAUGAAGGCCCUACGGGUCGUAAACUGCUUUUAUUCGGGAAGAAAAAGUCUGUUUCCACAGACCUUGACGGUACCGAUUGAAUAAGGACCGGCCAACUCCGUGCCAGCAGCCGCGGUAAUACGGAGGGUCCAAGCGUUAUCCGGAUUCACUGGGUUUAAAGGGUGCGCAGGCGGCCAAGUAAGUCAGUGGUGAAAGCCUUCGGCUCAACCGGAGAAUUGCCAUUGAAACUACUUGGCUUGAGUGCAGCAGAGGUAGGCGGAAUGUAGCAUGUAGCGGUGAAAUGCAUAGAUAUGCUACAGAACACCGAUAGCGAAAGCAGCUUACCACACUGUAACUGACGCUGAGGCACGAAAGCAUGGGUAGCAAACAGGAUUA